CUCUAUACCUCUUACGCAGUCUUCCCUACCAUUGAUGAUAAAUUGUAAGGUUGAUAUAAUGUGUAGGAGUACAUUUCGUUUUAAAACUAUGGGAAAAAUUGUCAGAAAACAUCGAAAAUUUCCGAGUCCGUUCGUAUUCACCAACCGUAGCCAAACAUCAGCUGCUGAUUAUUCGCUGUUCAGUGAUCAAAUCGGUAUUCUGAUCAAACCGAUUGUCAAAUUCCCCUGUUUUGCUCCAUUUUUUGAUGUUCUGACAUUUGAUGAUUACAUUUUGAUAAACGUUUUUUGGGCGCAGAUGCCGACUUGUGAUGAUGGAAAACUGUGCCGCUGAUCUCUCAAUCAGUGUUCUCAUCCUCUGAAGCCAGUAGUGAAGGACGCCGCUACUCCCCUGGUUAAGGAUAUGUUUAACGGAGUGCCUAGCCCCUAGGAUUGGGGCUUAAUCUCCUGUAGAUGAAAGCACUUGUGGGAAACCUUGCGUUCAGUAUUUGCUGUGAUCUUCUUCGAAAAAGUCCAAGGAAGUCGCUUAGGAUUUCUACCUGCACCACGUUCAUCAGGUGCACGGUGUGGAGAAUCGAUGCCCGUUCUGCUUUGGAGAGCAUGAAUACACGAUCGAACAUGCCACCGAUUGUUGGAGACUCUUCCUUCUGGCCCAUUUUUACGAGAUGCCUUCCUACCCCCGAGGAUGGAAAGAGACCCGAAUUUGGGAAAAGAGGGUGCUCCGUCAUAGAAGAAACUACCUUCAGGUGGAAAUAGAUAUGAUGGAAGCUCGAAAGAAGCAAUUGGAAAAGGAAAAAUUCAAGGUAAAGAGACUGUUGAAUCAUAAAUUUGGAGAGAAGAGGCGCCGACACAGGACAAUGUAAUUGAAAUAGA